rnacentral:rRNA from 1 species
UACAGAGGGUGCGAGCGUUAAUCGGAAUUACUGGGCGUAAAGCGUGCGUAGACGGUAGCGUAAGUCAGAUGUGAAAGCCCCGGGCUCAACCUGGGAACUGCAUUUGAGACUGCUCUGCUCGGGUGCGGAAGAGGGAAGCGGAAUUUCCGGUGUAGCGGUGAAAUGCGUAGAUAUUCGCAAGAACACCAGUGGCGAAGGCGGCUCACUGGCCCGAUACUGACGCUGAGGCACGAAAGCGUGGGGAGCAAACAGG